rnacentral:rRNA from 1 species
GACGAACGCUGGCGGCGUGCUUAACACAUGCAAGUCGAACGGAAAGGCCCUGCUUUUGUGGGGUGCUCGAGUGGCGAACGGGUGAGUAACACGUGAGUCACCUGCCCUUGACUUUGGGAUAACUUCAGGAAACUGGGGCUAAUACCGGAUAGGAGCUCCUGCUGCAUGGUGGGGGGUGGGAAGUUUCGGCGGUUGGGGAUGGACUCGCGGCUUAUCAGCUUGUUGGUGGGGUAGUGGCUUACCAAGGCUUUGACGGGUAGCCGGCCUGAGAGGGUGACCGGGCACAUUGGGAAUGAGAUACGGCCCAGAAGCCGACGGGAGGCAGCAGUGGGGAAUAUUGCACAAUGGGCGGAAGCCUGAUGCAGCAACGCCGCGUGCGGGAUGACGGCCUUCGGGUUGUAGACCGCUUUCGCCUGUGACGAAGCGUGAGUGACGGUAAUGGGUAAAGAAGCACCGGCUAACUACGUG